rnacentral:rRNA from 1 species
AGAGUUUGAUCGUGGCUCAGGAUGAACGCUAGCGGCAGGCUUAAUACAUGCAAGUCGUGGGGCAGCGCAGUGUAGCAAUACAUGGGCGGCGACCGGCAAACGGGUGCGGAACACGUACACAACCUUCCUACAAGUGGGGAAUAGCCCAGAGAAAUUUGGAUUAAUACCCCGUAACAUAUAGAGAUGGCAUCAUUUUUAUAUUAUAGCUAUGGCGCUUGUUGAUGGGUGUGCGGCUGAUUAGGUAGUUGGCGGGGUAACGGCCCACCAAGCCUUCGAUCAGUAGCUGAUGUGAGAGCAUGAUCAGCCACACGGGCACUGAGACACGGGCCCGACUCCUACGGGAGGCAGCAGUAAGGAAUAUUGGACAAUGGGCGCAAGCCUGAUCCAGCCAUGCCGCGUGAAGGAUUAAGGUCCUCUGGAUUGUAAACUUCUUUUAUAAGGGACGAAAAAAGGGAAUUCUUUCUCACUUGACGGUACCUUAUGAAUAAGCACCGGCUAACUCCGUGCCAGCAGCCGCGGUAAUACGGAGGGUGCAAGCGUUAUCCGGAUUCACUGGGUUUAAAGGGUGCGUAGGCGGGUAUUUAAGUCAGUGGUGAAAUCCUAGAGCUUAACUCUAGAACUGCCAUUGAUACUAUUUAUCUUGAAUAUUGUGGAGGUAAGCGGAAUAUGUCAUGUAGCGGUGAAAUGCUUAGAUAUGACAUAGAACACCUAUUGCGAAGGCAGCUUACUACGCAUAUAUUGACGCUGAGGCACGAAAGCGUGGGGAUCAAACAGGAUUAGAUACCCUGGUAGUCCACGCCCUAAACGAUGGAUACUCGACAUACGCGAUACACUGUGUGUGUCUGAGCGAGAGCAUUAAGUAUCC